UACGGAGGGUGCAAGCGUUGUUCGGAUUUACUGGGCGUAAAGCGUGUUUAGGUGGGCUUGCAAGUCAGGUGUGAAAUCCCCCGGCUUAACCGGGGAGGGUCACUUGAAACUACAAGUCUUGAGUUCCGGGGAGGUGGGUGGAAUUCCCAGUGUAGAGGUGAAAUUCGUAGAGAUUGGGAGGAACACCGGAGGCGAAAGCGGCUCACUAACCGGACACUGACACUGUCACACGAAAGCGUGGGGAGCAAACAGG
rnacentral:rRNA from 1 species